rnacentral:rRNA from 1 species
GGCUAAGAACUAACGCUGGCAGUGCCUCUUAAGCAUGCAAGUCAAACGGGAUGUAGCAAUACAUCUAGUGGCGAACGGGUGAGUAACGCGUGGAUGAUCUACCUACGAGAUGGGGAUAACUAUUAGAAAUAGUAGCUAAUACCGAAUAAAGUCAAUUAAUUUGUUGAUUGAUGAAAGGAAGCCUUUAAAGCAUCGCUUGUAGAUGAGUCUGCGUCUUAUUAGUUAGUUGGUAGGGUAAAUGCCUACCAAGGCGAUGAUAAGUAACCGGCCUGAGAGGGUGAACGGUCACACUGGAACUGAGAUACGGUCCAGACUCCUACGGGAGGCAGCAGCUAAGAAUCUUCCGCAAUGGGCGAAAGCCUGACGGAGCGACACUGCGUGAAUGAAGAAGGUCGAAAGAUUGUAAAAUUCUUUUAUAAAUGAGGAAAUAGCUUUGUAGGAAAUGACGAAGUGAUGACGUUAAUUUAUGAAUAAGCCCCGGCUAAUUACGUGCCAGCAGCCGCGGUAAUACCUA